UUCCGGUUGAUCCCGCCGGACCUGACUGCUAUCGGAUUGAUACUAAGCCAUGCGAGUCAUUGUAGCAAUACAAGGCAUACGGCUCAGUAACGCGUAGUCAACCUACCUUAUGGACGGGGAUAACCUCGGGAAACUGAGAAUAAUACCCGAUAGAACAUAAUUCCUGGAAUGGUUUAUGUUUCAAAUAAUUUAUUGCCGUAGGAUGGGACUGCGGCCUAUCAGUUUGUUGGUGAGGUAAUGGCCCACCAAGACUAUUACAGGUACGGGCUCUGAGAGGAGUAGCCCGGAGAUGGGUACUGAGACACGGACCCAGGCCCUAUGGGGCGCAGCAGGCGAGAAAACUUUGCAAUGUGCGAAAGCACGACAAGGUUAAUCCGAGUGGUUUCUGCUAAAGGAACCUUUUGACAGUCAUAGAACCACUGUUGAAUAAGGGGUGGGCAAGUUCUGGUGUCAGCCGCCGCGGUAAAACCAGCACCUCAAGUGGUCAGGAUGAUUAUUGGGCCUAAAGCAUCCGUAGCCUGCUUUGUAAGUUUUCGGUUAAAUCCAUACGCUCAACGUAUGGGCUGCCGGGAAUACUGCAAAGCUAGGGAGUGGGAGAGGUAGACGGUACUCGGUAGGAAGGGGUAAAAUCCUUUGAUCUAUUGAUGACCACCUGUGGCGAAGGCGGUCUAC
rnacentral:rRNA from 1 species